GACGAACGCUGGCGGCGUGCUUAACACAUGCAAGUCGAACGGAAAGGCCCUGCUUUUGUGGGGUGCUCGAGUGGCGAACGGGUGAGUAACACGUGAGUAACCUGCCCUUGACUUUGGGAUAACUUCAGGAAACUGGGGCUAAUACCGGAUAGGAGCUCCUGCUGCAUGGUGGGGGUUGGAAAGUUUCGGCGGUUGGGGAUGGACUCGCGGCUUAUCAGCUUGUUGGUGGGGUAGUGGCUUACCAAGGCUUUGACGGGUAGCCGGCCUGAGAGGGUGACCGGCCACAUUGGGACUAAGAUACGGCCCAGACUCCUACGGGAGGCAGCAGCGGGGAAUAUUGCACAAUGGGCGGAAGCCUGAUGCAGCAACGCCGCGUGCGGGAUGACGGCCUUCGGGUUGUAAACCGCUUUCGCCUGUGACGAAGCGUGAGUGACGGUAAUGGGUAAAGAAGCACCGGCUAACUACGUG
rnacentral:rRNA from 1 species